GCACGGAGAGCAUUUUGGAGGGGACGACACGAUCAGUUGAUGGUGAAAGCUGGCGACGGCCGGGUUCGAGAAGUCAUUUCUCUAGAAGCGUCUCCCUCGAACAGUGGUCGUCCUCUUCGUUUGGCUCUCGGAAUAAAGAGCGAAGACCAGGGGAGGUGGUGACUUCUGGCAGUUUUCAUCAUGAUGCAGGACUUUCGAUCCUUUUAAUAGCUUCCUUAAGAUCUUGCUGGAUUGAUUCUCUUGUUGGUGACAUCACCAUAUCAUCCCAAAUGAAACCAGACCCGGAGCUAGUAUCUUCCUGUUGCUGCUUCCAUCCUUCCAACCUAUCAGCUGCAGACAGCAUGAAAGCCAAUACUAUAUUACCCUGUAUCAAGAUAUCAUGGUGGCUGAAUGUUGCUCUUUUUUUA